UACGAAGGGGGCUAGCGUUGUUCGGAAUUACUGGGCGUAAAGCGCACGUAGGCGGAUCGAUCAGUCAGGGGUGAAAUCCCAGAGCUCAACUCUGGAACUGCCUUUGAUACUGUCGAUCUAGAGUAUGGAAGAGGUGAGUGGAAUUCCGAGUGUAGAGGUGAAAUUCGUAGAUAUUCGGAGGAACACCAGUGGCGAAGGCGGCUCACUGGUCCAUUACUGACGCUGAGGCGCGAAAGCGUGGGGAGCAAACAGG
rnacentral:rRNA from 1 species